rnacentral:rRNA from 1 species
CCUACGGGAGGCAGCAGUAGGGAAUCUUCCACAAUGGGCGAAAGCCUGAUGGAGCAACGCCGCGUGGGUGAAGAAGGUCUUCGGAUCGUAAAACCCUGUUGUUAGAGAAGAAAGUGCGUGAGAGUAACUGUUCACGUUUCGACGGUAUCUAACCAGAAAGCCACGGCUAACUACGUGCCAGCAGCCGCGGUAAUACGUAGGUUGCAAGCGUUAUCCGGAUUUGUUGGGCGUAAAGGGAACGCAGGCGGUCUUUUAAGUCUGAUGUUAAAGCCUUCGGCUUAACCGGAGUAGUGCAUUGGAAACUGGGAGACUUGAGUGCAGAAGAGGAGAGUGGAACUCCAUGUGUAGCGGUGAAAUGCGUAGAUAUAUGGAAGAACACCAGUGGCGAAAGCGGCUCUCUGGUCUGUAACUGACGCUGAGGUUCGAAAGCGUGGGUAGCAAACAGGAUUAGAUACCCGGGUAGUC